rnacentral:rRNA from 1 species
GCCUACGGGGCGCAGCAGUCGCGCAAACUUUGCAAUACACGAAAGUGUGACAGGGCUAUCCCGAGUGCCGUCCGCUGAGGAUGGCUUUUACCCAGUCUAGAACGCUGGGGGAAUAAGGAGAGGGCAAGUCUGGUGUCAGCCGCCGCGGUAAUACCAGCUCUCCGAGUGGUGUGGAUGUUUAUUGGGCCUAAAGCAUCCGUAGCUGGCCAAGUUAGUCCCUUGUUAAACCCACCGAAUUAAUCGUUGGAUUGCGGGGGAUACUGCUCGGCUAGGGGACGAGAGAGGCAGACGGUAUUUUCGGGGUAGGGGUGAAAUCCUAUAAUCCCGGGAAGACCACCAGUGGCGAAGGCUGUCUGCUAGAACGCGCCCGACGGUGAGGGAUGAAAGCUGGGGGAGCGAACCGGAUUAGAUACCCCGGU